GGUGGGUGCAGUUAUUUUCUAAUGUCGUCAAUUUUAUUAGUGGAAUGAAGAUCGAGUUAAAUUACGGGUGAUUCUGAUAAGCGGCGGGCUUCACUGUUAGUAAAAGUUCGGAGUGGGUAGACUUGGUGGUAAAAGUGAAAGUGAUUUGUGAAUAACUUGAAAAACAACUUGUUGUGAGCACAGAAUUCUUGUCCAAGACACGGGGAUACUAUAUGAAAUUUAAAGGACAAAAGCACUCAAGGAAAAGAUAGAUAAGUAAAAAUAAGAGACGGAGGAGGAAUAUAGAGAUAAUCAGAAAUAUAUGGUUAAUUUGAAAAUUAACAAUACCACAAUUUUCAUGAUACCCUAAUAUAACAACAUAAGGGAGAAUUUUUGAAAUACAAUUUUCAAUAUCAAAAUUUGGCAGAUUAGGAAAUUAGGAAGAAAAUGAAAAAAUAUAUUCUAUUUGCGUGAACCAUGAAUAAAUUAAUGACAUAAUUAAAAAAAAAGAUGCUCAUCAGGCAUUCACAUGAGAUUCGUCUAUCACUCUCAAAUAUUCAUUAACAAAAGACUAUUACUACUUUCGAAAAAUAUUUCAGUGGAUAUAUUACCCACUAAUCCUAUGAUUAUUUUUGACAAUGGCAAAAGAAACAUGAACUUAAGAAUGUUCUCAUUACCCGUCAUCACUCUGGACUCAAAUGAAGGGAUAAGUUGCGAGAAACCAAUGCAACAUGUGCCCCCAUAUCAAAAAACAAAAUAUCAAAAAUCUUAGAAACCAAUUCGCAAAAUGCUAUAGGACAUAUUAUAUGAAACGAAGAGACAUUAUGGGAACUUGAUAUAUUGAUAGAGAAAACAAUAAAAUUUUUGUGAGAGAAGAAACAGAUGAUAAAGAUUGCUUGUCAGAAGAAAACGACUUACAUUGAUGCUGUAGUUUCCGUGAACCUGAAGUUCUUACCACAUAUGGAGUUGACCCUAUAUCUUAACAUCAUUGAGUAUAAUGUUCUCAACAUUUCACUGAUGAAAGUUUUGAUUGAAUUUUAAUGCUAGAAGCUAGAUAGCGAUCAUGUGCUCUUCCUACACAAGAAGUCAAUCGUCUGAAAUGUAUACCUAUGGUUAUGCUCGACAAACAUUCCAAAAAUAUCUACCUCACCCAAAAAAAUUAUACAAAUGGUAUUUUUGUAUAUAUGGAAAGCUAAGGUUUACCUAAGAAGCCUUUAAUUUAUUAAAAUCGAACAUGGAAAAUAGUAACAAAUUUUGUUCUAUUCAUGAGUCCUGAUCAGUAGCAUAUUAAUGAGAAAGCUGGAAUUGAUUGGUUGAAGUCCUUUAUGGAUAGAAAUAAAGACAAAAUAGUGUCACGGUAACCUGAAAAUACUAGUUUUAAAGGGCAGUAUCUUUUAACAGAGUAACUGUUUUUUUGAAAAUUAUAUUUUAGAGCUUACGAAGUAUAGCUUAAAACCUGAACAAAUAUUCAACGUAGAUGAGUCUGAGAUAACAACUGUUUUGAAACCAGUAAAAAUAGUUUCUACCAGGAAAAAAGAACAAGACAACCUAGCGGUUUCUGCAGAACGAAGUAAACUGACAACAUUUUUGGGUAUAAUAAAAGUAUAAGAAGAUGCAUUGCCUUCCUUUUAUGUUUUUUCCUAGAAUACGCCACCCUGAAGAGUUACUAACUAAUGCACCUCCAUUUAGUAAGGCUGGAUGACAGAUCUAUUUGUUAAUGUUCUGAAAUCCAUUCGGAGAAACACGAAUUGUUUAAAAGGUUGAACUGUUGAACAAUUAUGAAUAUAAUACAAAAGUACGAGCUGUUAACUGUAAGGAAAAUGGUAUAAUCAUGUUUUCAACACACAUUGUACACAAAAUACAGCCCCUGGAUGUAGGGGUGCUUGAAACUUUCAAAACUUAUUGCUAUGUUUGGUUGACAUCAAAUCUCGGAAAUAAAAGAAAUGAUGAGAUCACUAACACUACAUUUCAAACAGACAAGACAGACGUUUUCUUAUCUCAAUUUACAUGUGAUUCAAACUGCCCCACUUCAUGGUUGAAAGUGUCCCAGUGGAGAGGCACAUUUGGUUUGCAAAUUUAGAUACAGCCGAAUCAAAAAUGGCACGGCAUAAAUAAGUAUUUUAACAAUAGAAAAGUGUAUAGUUUGAUAUGCACCCUUGUCUUAUUAUCUUAUUACCAAUAGUUGCGAUCGCUCCACCUAGAACUUCAAUUCUGAUGUUUUCAUGUAUCGAUGAGUGAUAUCAGACAUUAUGCAAUGACUUUGGAUUACUCAAAAUGAACUUAACAUUAUUGAGUAUUGAGACCAAAACCGUGAUGUAUAUUCACCGGAAAAUGUGUUUUUUCAAAUGUUUCCAGCGUAGGAUUUGUUUUUUCAAUCAACUUAUUAUUUAUACUUUCAUGAAAGCCGA